rnacentral:rRNA from 1 species
UACGUAGGUGGCUAGCGUUGUCCGGAUUUACUGGGCGUAAAGAGCGCGCAGGCGGUCGUUCAAGUCGAGUGUGAAAGCCCCCGGCUCAACUGGGGAGGGUCACUCGAUACUGAUCGACUUGAAGGCGGGAGAGGGAAGCGGAAUUCCCGGUGUAGUGGUGAAAUGCGUAGAGAUCGGGAGGAACACCAGUGGCGAAGGCGGCUACCUGGACCAGCACUGACACUGAGGCACGAAAGCGUGGGGAGCAAACAGG